rnacentral:rRNA from 1 species
CCCUUAGAUGUUCUGGGCCGCACGCGCGCUACACUGAUGCAUUCAACAAGCCUAGCCUUGACCGAGAGGUCCGGGUAAUCUUUGGAACUGCAUCGUGAUGGGGCUAGAUUAUUGCAAUUAUUAAUCUUCAACGAGGAAUGCCUAGUAAGCGUGAUUCAUCAAAUCGCGUUGAUUACGUCCCUGCCCUUUGUACACACCGCCCGUCGCUCCUACCGAUUGAAUGUGUUGGUGAGGAGCUCGGAUUGGCAGCAGUUGGUGGUUCGCCACCGGCUAUUGCUGAGAAGUCCUCCAAACCGCCCCAUUUAGAGGAAGGAGAAGUCGUAACA